UACGUAGGUGGCAAGCGUUGUCCGGAUUUACUGGGUGUAAAGGGCGUGCAGCCGGAGAGACAAGUCAGAUGUGAAAUCCACGGGCUCAACUCGUGAACUGCAUUUGAAACUGUUUCCCUUGAGUGUCGGAGAGGUAAUCGGAAUUCCUUGUGUAGCGGUGAAAUGCGUAGAUACAAGGAAGAACACCAGUGGCGAAGGCGGAUUACUGGACGAUAACUGACGGUGAGGCGCGAAAGCGUGGGGAGCAAACAGG
rnacentral:rRNA from 1 species